ACAAACUUGGUCAUUUAGAGGAAGUAAAAGUCGUAACAAGGUCAUCGUAGGUGAACCUGCGGUGGGAUCAUCAGUAAGAGGUCUGGGGGGGCGCGCGUGUGCGCCCCCCUGCGCUUUUGUGGACGAGAGGGGGGGGGAGGCGCCUGUUGGUGCCCCUCCCCCUACAAACAUGGGGGUGGUCGGAGAGGCGGGCCCGCGAGGCCUCGCGCUUGGCCGCCCCACAAACAUAGCCCAACAUCCAUACACCGCUGUGCUGUUUUGUAAGGAAAAUAGUAACAACUAUCAAUGGUGGAUCACUUGGCUCUUGCAUCGAUGAAGAACGCAGC
rnacentral:misc_RNA from 1 species